rnacentral:lncRNA from 12 species
GGCUCUCAUAACUUGUGGAGCUGGGCUUGCUGGGAGCACAGAGAGAUUGCAGAUAUAUUGGAAAACUUCUUUCAUAACUGAGAGAGCAAAAAUACCAGAAUUUUUAUGCAAAUGCUGCAAACAGUAAGACUGAAAGUCAGGAGCAG